GACUCUCGACAACGGAUAUCUCGGCUCUCGCAUCGAUGAAGAACGUAGUGAAAUGCGAUACUUGGUGUGAAUUGCAGAAUCACGUGAACCAUCGAGUUUUUGAACGCAAGUUGCGCCCGAAGCCUUCUGGCCGAGGGCACGUCUGCCUGGGCGUCACA
rnacentral:rRNA from 1 species